GUCUACAGCCAUGCUAUCCUGAACGCACAGGAUCUCAUCUGAUCUCAGAAGCUGAGCAGGGUUGGGUCUGGUUAGUACUGUCAUAGGAGAGACAAGCUUGAGCGUCUGGGACUAUUGGGAACGCAGCACACA
rnacentral:rRNA from 1 species